ACAAGUUACAACCAACCCAAAUUCGGGAAAUAGCGAAAUCCAAUUGUUCAAACUACAAACUACCCCAACCAGAUCACGCAAAUGCCGCUCGCAAAGUAGGGAACAUUAAGACUGCAUCCAGCAAUGGCAAUUUUUUUCUCUCUCUAUCUUUCUCGCUCUCGCUCUCGCUCUCUCACCAUCUCAGAAAGACUCGAAAAACGAAGUCUAAUCUUUUCGUUAUUGAGGGUUUUUUUUUUACUGGAAUAGAGAUGUCGUUCAAUCUUGUUUUGAAGCCAUCAUGCAGAGGCUGUGGGUCAAGCAUUGAUCUUUACGGGAGUAUUUGUACGCAUAUGACUCUCUGCUUGUCCUGUGGAAAAACCAUGGCGGAAAACCAUGGAAAAUGUGACGACUGUGGCGUUACAAUCACACAAUUUAUUCGGGAGUAUAAUGUCCGAUCUAGUUCUACCAGCGAUAGAACUUACUUCAUUGGAAAAUUUGUUACAGGGGUUCCCAAUUUUUCAAAGAAGAAAAAUGCUGUUAAUAAAUGGUCUCUCCAAAAAGAAGGGCUGCAAGGGUGCCAAGUUACAAAUGCUUUGCGGGAUGAAGAGGAUGAGGAUGAAGCUAUUGAAGAGGAGGGAGGCCUGAGAAAAUCUGUAAAGGACCUACAGAAGCUGUUUGGACGAGCCACUGGGCUGCUGGAUGAUUCAGAUGGUAAAGAUGAUGACUAUAUGGACGUUGAGAUGGGUCUUUCCCCUGUAGUGGCUCGAAAACAGGAGGAUGCACCAAAGGAGGAGCCGGCUGAUAUCAGCCCCUCAGAAGCAGGACCAUCAGGAUCUGUACGAGGAAUCCCUUCUUCAUCAAAGUCAAGUAAGAUAAAAAGGAAAUCAGGUGGGGAUGAUGCAGAGGUUGUGACUGGACCACCUGCUGUGAAAGUGAGAUUUGAUAAUGAGUCAAAACCAUCUGCAAAGGAUGAGCGAUUGUCCACUCCCAAGAGUAGUGCAUCUCCAAAAAUUUCAGCUUCAUCUGCCAAAGCUGGACCAACACUAGCGACUGGCCCUGUUACUGAGGAAUAAGUGAGGGAUGUAUUGCUGGAAAUGGGACCAGUUACAAUGCGGGAUCUUGUUGCUAAGUUUAUAGCAAGACUAAAAUCACAGGAGGACAAGUUGGCUUUUAAAGAUAUCCUGAUGCGAAUUACUAGAUUAAGACGUCGCCCCAAAUAUAUUGUAUUGAGAGAGAAAUGACAAUAGGCCACAUACUUGGGCUUAUCUGCCCUUAGGUUGCUGCUUUUUCAAUGGGUUGCAUAUGCUACCACAUAUUGGGGAGUGGCACCAACUCAGGUGUUGGCCAUGUUUUCUUCCAGGUAAAAUGCAGAACCUGGAGUCUGUAAAAUGGGUGUUCUUGUUUUUCCAAGGUCCUCCAGAAUGCGAGCUACACAGACUAUAAACCGUAUUCUUGUGUAUCAUUGGCUUGGGAUUCUCCAUUUUGUUAUCUUAUGUUUCUUUGGGUCUUUUCUGUCAUAUGCUUUAUAAUCGAGGGGUUACCGAGAACUCCAGAUUCCUUGUCUGUGGAAGGUAUGCUAUCUGCUUCAUACAGUCAGAAUAAUAACCUUCUUUGAGCAUUAUGUACUGAAAACUGGCCUGAAUAAUAUCAAGAUCGGUCAUUACCUCCCCCCUCCCCACCCCCCUUCUUGUUAACCCAUAAAUAACAGGUUCAUGUACUUGGUACUGAGGUGCUGGACAACUGCAACUCUGUUUAAUUAUUUAUGCAACUCAUAGUUUGGCAAAGAACAUGUCCAUGGUUCAACUUCAGAUAUUUCUUUAAGAAAUUUAUCUAAUCUUUUUAACUUAAAUAUCAAAGGAUACAUUGUUAUGCGAUUGACACCAGUGGUGAGCUGGUAAUUACUACUCUAGAUUGCAAUUUAAGUUCCUCUGAGUGGAUCAUCUUACUAAACACAUUUUUUUGA